rnacentral:tRNA from 1 species
GCCGUCGUGGUGUAGUGGUGAGCACUUUCGACGCGUAUUUGAGAGGUCCGUGGUUCGAGUCCCGCCGAGGGCA